UACGUCCGCCAAAAACAUCAUUUUAUUAAUGUAAUGUCAAGAUGAACAAAUAGGAAUAUGAAGCACAAAACGCCAGCUUUUGCGCAUUGAUUAAUUCAAACAAAACAAGAAUUUGAAUCCAUACAAGAAGAAAAGAAAACUGCAUAUAGUUCUUGUCCUACAUGUUUGUAAAAUAGCACAAUGGACGCCACAUGACCAUUGCAAGGCACACCAUCCUGCCGGGCAGGGGUUGUCAUGAUCCAUCCAUAAAGAGAAGUGCCAUCACCUUGAUAUGUCCAGC
rnacentral:lncRNA from 1 species